ACUAUGAAUACUAACUUUUGUUUAUCUUUUGUUGUUUUUUUGCGGCCUUCUCCUCAAAUUAAGUUGUUAUUUUAAUCGGAAUUUUAAUGAUUAUAAACUGACGUUGGCGUUUGUUUUUGUUGCAGAUGAGAAGGGGAGACUUCAACGGGGGUCGUUGAAAAAGUCCAGGUUCGAAGCGGGUCGUUUUGAUGGAGAGGAAUGUUCCAGCAUGAGCAACUCUACGGUUUGCCAGCGGUUCAUCCAAAAUGCCUGGAAGAAGGAGCGUUGCUCAAACUGCUUCAAAGCGAAAGAGGACCACGUCAAAGUGAACGGAACGAACAUAAGUUUGAAUCUGACGCAAAUCAAGUCCAUCCAGUCUCUCACUAAUGGGAUUGUCCCCAGGAGUAUCCUCAAAGGGAAAGCACACACGGGUAAGAAGCAUACAGUGAGUUUCCUGCCGGAGGAGUUCGAAGUGAUCGGCUAUGGCGGCGACGAGUACUCGUCGGACGAGGAGGACGGUUUCUUCGAGCCCUCCAACGACGACUGCGACAUCAUUUUCCCGGACGGCGAAGACGAGAAAGAACUCCAGAAGCUCACGAGAAUCAACACCGACUUCAACUCGGUCACGGCCAACCUGGACGACAAGAACGACAAAAAAACCAAGAAGAUCCAACCCCUGGAACUCGGCAAACCUCUAACGGACGGCGAGGGCAAGAAACAAACCCUCCUCGUCUCCGUGGAGCCUUUCGCCACCUCCCAAGCUCCACCCAAGAAGAAAGCCACCCUAAUCAAAUCGGCUUUCGAGAACGAGGACAAGAAUAAACCGGUCGUCAACAACUCUGUACCCUACACCAACUCAAUAGCUUCGUCCAGGAAGACGCAUUUGUUCAAAUUACUCGACACGAGCGACGCCGCUGUGACGCAGAACAACACGACGGUCACGAAUCGGGUGGCGGAGAACAACCUCACCAACCUGAUUCUAAACCAAGCUCUGAGUCAGAAAGGUAGCGAGGACAAGGUCUAUUCGAGUAACAUCGAGGUGACCUCCGGAGAUGUCUACUUGGAGCCGAUCGCGAGCGAGGAGAUCUCGCCUCCACCGCCGGCUCCCUUCGAUUCCGCCUCCACGAAAGAGCAGGAGAACUGCACCAACGUGGAGGUCGUCCCCGGGGAGCCGGAGAAACCCUCGGAUGUCGUCAAGAUGCAGGUGAUGCUAGAGGACAAGUUCCCGACGCCUCCCACUCCACCCCCGAUGCGGGAGAACGACACCGGGGACGUGGUCUUGCACCCGAUCGACGUCGCUAAAACGAUCGACGAGAAUGUCGAAGAUAGUCAAACCAAUGUCCAUGUCAAAAGUAACCUGCGGAUCAGCUUGGACGAGCUCAAGGAGAGCCCCGUGGCGCACAGAGGGACCAACCGGAAGACGCAGAUCACCAGAGGCACCAUCUUGACCAAGGUCCACGAGCCGAUCCGGACCAAGAAGUUCCUCCACCUGUCCGCCGUGGACAUCACGGACGACUCCGCACACGUUGAAAAGACUGAUAAACAUUUGCUCAAAGAUAGUGAGAAUAGACUGGCUAUGUACAAAAACGAAGAAGUUAAACCGGUAGAUUCGGUGGUGUCGAAGAACGCGAAGAACUCUUCCGACUCUCCGAAGACCACGAUCAAAGAGAGCUUCACGAGUGAGGUGGCUGUGACUAUGAACGGGACGGAGCCGACGGGACGAGAGAACCCCAUACAACUUCCGCUUAUCAUCAAUUCUACCUAUAGUAAGAUCAACGCGGCUACCAGGGAGAAGCAUGAUGAGGAUGUUCAUUCGAACCACUCGCAUAUGCAAAACGGUGGCAAGCCGGACUCGUUGGAUUUGAGUGGGACCAACCUGGAGUUGGAGAGUCGGGAGCUGGCUGGUGAGCCGGACGGAAGGGCGGAUUCGGACGAGUCUUCGGAAACGACCGCAUCUCCAUACGUCUCCAUUUCGGCCACUUCCCCUCCCGCCAAUCCCAGGUCCUCCUUCUUGCACGGUUUCACCAAGGACAAACCGAAAGUGGCCGUAAGACCUACUUCUUUCUCGCUCCACCAUCACUCGGAACCCUUGACCGCCCUCUGCGAGCAAUUCGUUACGGAGCAAUCGCUCUCUCAAUCACUGGACUACCUCUCAACCGAAUCAUCCUUGAAAAUGAAGCGCCAAGCUCCUCAACCUCCCCCAACACCGUUAACAGAGCCCAAAGUAGACCAUGAUUCAUCUGAUCAAUCACCACAGCAACAAAUAUACAGCCAUCCUCAAAAACCAAAAAAGAACAGUUUGUCUGACUACGAAACAAAGAGAGUCUCCUUGUCUCAUGAUAAUCUAUCUUCCGAUAAACCUAUACCAAGUCCUAUGGUUGAAAAGGCAAGAAAGAUCAAUGGUGCUGCAACCAAAAUGCGUUUUACUCUAAAGAAGUUCUUACGUUUUAACAGCAAAGACGAAGAUAAACCAGUGGAUGAUACACCUCCAACUCCUUUAUCACCGAAACCUCGUCCAGAAAUCAUACACCCUAUUGACUUGAACAAAUCUGGAGUUGAGGUACUCAGAGGUGAUAAAACAGCCGGAAUCAAUAUCAAAGCUUCACAAACAAUUCCGAUGGAUGUUGGAACACCAAAGAAAAAUGGAGCUCCAGCUUCAGGUCGGCCUUCAAAACCGCCUCCUCCCCCUCGCAAUCCAUCAACAACAGUCAGACCGGCCCGACCUCCUCCUCCAGAAACAAAUGGAACAGUUUAUGCUAAUAUUGGUGAACCUCGCCAAAACAUUGCACCAACAAAACCACAAAGGACUGCCAGUAUUAAAAGAGAACACAGUGUGGACUAUGAACCGAUGCAAAACAAAAAUUGUCUUGGUAUGAGAAGGAGAAUAUAUACGAGCCAAUCACUGUUACGAAUGGAAUGUUUGACACACGACUGA
rnacentral:lncRNA from 1 species